GGCGGAGCCAUGAAUUUUUGUCAUGUGGGGCCGACUAUUAAUACUUCACAUUUUAAUGGGAUCAUUUAUGCAAAUCUUAAUGGAUUUACACAUGAAAAUUUUAAGACUCUCAAGGGUGUUUGUGAAAUAGUUGU
rnacentral:pre_miRNA from 1 species